GGCCCACAGCUCAGUGGCAGAGCAUCUGUUUUGCCUGCAGUAGGUCCCAGGUUCAAUCCCUGACACCUCCA